rnacentral:lncRNA from 1 species
AUGGGUGCUCGGGUCUGGUCUGGUGGGCGCGAGGGGAGGCGGGAGCUGGUGCCCGGGGUGCGGCGCCGGCAGGGAUCUCCGAAUGCACACGGGGAGGCUCUCGGGGGGCCUCCCCCAUCUGCACCCCUCCCUGCUCCCUCUCCCCCUUGGCCUUGGCUGGGAGGACUUGAGCCUAUGCUGGCGCGGAGGGAAGGAUCCAGAUGCCAAGGGGCAGAGCACGGCGCCGCGGCAGGAGGGGCAGCAGGUCCCAGACGUCCUCUCCUGUCCGCGGCUGCAGCACCCCAGCCCCGCUGGGAGCCUCCCGCUCAGGCCCGGGUCCCGGCGAGCUGCCGGGGACUGAACCGCGGGGCGAGAGCCGCCAGCCCGGCUGCUCGCCCCCAGCGCGGAUCUGGCGCGGAAGGAGACUCCCCCAAGCCGCCGUGUCCUCCACCAGCGCUCCCAUCCUGCUGGCUGCACCAGGACCCGCUCCACUGCUGGGCCGCAUCCCGGUGGGGAGGCAAACGCAGCAGGGAUGCUGGAAAACUGCCCGCUCCGUCCCGUUCGCCGCGGAGGUCCCAGCCGGGCGCUGGCGGACUCCCAGCCCCAGCUGGGCCGUUGCCUUCGUGCCCUCGGGGCCGGGGAGCGGUAAUGAGUGACAGGACCUCGGGGCAAGGUCCGUGGUGGCCCGUAAACAAGCCCCGCGCCGGAGGCCCAGGGAAGCCCCGCGCCGGCCACCCGCCCACGCCGGCGCUGCCGCCUGGAAGGGAAAAGCAAGCCCCGGGCGGGCGCCGCAGGGAGCCGAGGGCGGCUGCCCCUCCUCGCCCUGCUGCCGCCAGCCCAUCCGGGGCGUCGGGCCAAGUGUUUGCCAGCGCUGCCGGCUUUGCGCCCGGAAGAGGCUGCCCUCGGCCGGGCCCCCUGCGCCCCCAGCCUGGGCGCUCCUGGGCCCCUCCGCCGGGCCUUCGAGAAGCGCAACACGCCGGGCUCCCUCAGGCCCGGCUGAGGAAGAUCCCGAUUUCUUUCCCUGAGCUCCCUGCGGGAUCCGGCAGCACCGGUGCUCGGCAGCACCAGCGGGGUCCCCCCGCACCGCGCCACCCCCCGAGCUGGCUCAGGCCAGGGGAUGCCCGGCCCCUCCGUGGCCUUCUUGGCUUUUACUUAGCAUGUCCCCUGCAUCCUCUGUCAGCCAGCGAUUCCCGAGGCUGGGAAAUGCCCGCUCCCGGACGGCAGGGUAACAAUGGGAAGCGUCCCUGCUCUCAGUGCCCUCCCAAACCCCAGCUCCCGCCCGGGGCGCAGCCGGGUGUUUUUAACGGGCGUAACAACGGCGGCAGUGCCGUCACCGUUCUGUUGCGCGGCACGGCGCUUUUGCCUGGUGAGCCGGUGCUAAAACAAAACACCCCGUAUUUGGGCAAUAACAACAUUGCUGCUUAG